UCCGGUUUGUCACCGGCAGUCUGGCGUGAGUCCCCAACUUAAUGAUGGCAACACGCCACAGGGGUUGCGCUCGUUGCGGGACUUAACCCAACACCUCACGGCACGAGCUGACGACAGCCGUGCAGCACCUCCCCGCGUGCCCCGAAGGGAGACCGGCUUUCACCGGCUGUCACACGGAGUUCAAGCCCAGGUAAGGUUCUUCGCGUCGCAUCGAAUUAAACCACAUGCUCCACCGCUUGUGCGGGCCCCCGUCAAUUCCUUUGAGUUUCAGCCUUGCGGCCGUACUCCCCAGGCGGGGCACUUAAUGCGUUAGCGCCGGCACCCAGGGGGUCGCUCCCCCAGGCACCUAGUGUCCAUCGUUUACGGCGUGGACUAC
rnacentral:misc_RNA from 1 species